UCCCUGGUGGCUCAGAUGGUAAAGCAUCUGCCAGCAAUGCAGGAGACACAGGUUCCAACCCUGGGUAGGGAA
rnacentral:tRNA from 1 species